ACUCGACGGGUGAACAUCGCUGCUCAGGCAACUCGACAGGAGACAGACGAAGAAAUCGCACGACGCCUAUACCAGCAAGAUCUUCUAGCCGCCCAACAAG
rnacentral:sRNA from 15 species